GUUCAUUAAUCCUUGUUGAACCCAAAUUUUGUUGAAUGUAGAAAUUCUCAAUGUGAGGACCAAAAAGGAAUAAGGUUACAAGAUAUAACAAACCAGAUUCAGGCAGUAAUAAACUUCAAAUUCUACCAGCUCUAGGUCGCGAUUAGUCAUAAGGAUUCCUGAAAUUCUUGAGAAGUUCAGGGAUGUCAUAACCAAGCAUAUCGUCAACAUCUUGUAUCAUUUUUGGCUUCAACUUCUCGAAUCUGUCAAAGCUAUAACCACCGAGAACUUCCCUGAAGUGUUCGACAUUUGGAAAAUCCCCAGCAGGCAGAUGGAAUUCCCUUUGAACCUUUCCAAAUUCGUUUUCCAAUUCGUCGAUGAGUCUCUGUUGAGUCUUGGCUUUUCCUAUCAUAGCAGGCAUCUCUUUUCUGAGAUGACU
rnacentral:misc_RNA from 1 species